GGGGGCAUAGCUCAGCUGGGAGAGCAACAGACUGAAGUUGAUGAUUUAUUCCAUUGUUCUUUCUGGAGGUCCCCAGUUCAAUCCUGGGUGCCCCCA